rnacentral:rRNA from 1 species
UACAGAGGUCCCAAGCGUUGUUCGGAUUCACUGGGCGUAAAGGGUGCGUAGGUGGUUAGGUAAGUCCGAUGUGAAAUCUCCAGGCUCAACCUGGAAAUGGCAUUGGAUACUAUUUAGCUUGAGGAGUGGAGGGGGGACUGGAAUUCUCGGUGUAGCAGUGAAAUGCGUAGAUAUCGAGAGGAACACCAGUGGCGAAGGCGGCUCACUGGUCCGGUACUGACGCUGAGGUGCGAAAGCGUGGGGAGCAAACAGG